GAGUUUGAUCGUGGCUCAGGACGAACGCUGGCGGCGUGCUUAACACAUGCAAGUCGAACGGGGUCCAACUGAUGGCAACAUCAGGGAAGAUCUAGUGGCGAACGGGUGAGUAACACGUGAAGAACCCACCCCGAUCUCUGGAAUAACAGUCGGAAACGAUUGCUAAUACCGGAUGCCCUCCUCGUGUCACCUGGCACAGGGGAGGAAAGGGUUACCGGAUCGGGUCGGCUUCGCGGCCUAUCAGCUUGUUGGUGGGGUAACGGCCCACCAAGGCGUCGACGGGUAGCUGGUCUGAGAGGAUGAUCAGCCACACUGGGACUGAGACACGGCCCAGACUCCUACGGGAGGCAGCAGUGGGGAGUCUUGCGCAAUGGGCGAAAGCCUGACGCAGCAACGCCGCGUGCGGGAUGAAGGCCCUCGGGUUGUAAACCGCUUUCAGCAGGAACGAAUCUGACGGUACCUGCAGAAGAAGGUCCGGCUAACUACGUGCCAGCCGCCGCGGUAAC
rnacentral:rRNA from 1 species